CUACGGGAGGCAGCAGUGGGGAAUAUUGGACAAUGGGCGCAAGCCUGAUCCAGCCAUGCCGCGUGAGUGAUGAAGGCCCUAGGGUUGUAAAGCUCUUUCGGCGGGGACGAUAAUGACGGUACCCGAAGAAUAAGCUCCGGCUAACUUCGUGCCAGCAGCCGCGGUAAUACGAAGGGAGCUAGCGUUGUUCGGAAUCACUGGGCGUAAAGCGCACGUAGGCGGAUUUGUUAGUCAGGGGUGAAAUCCCGGGGCUCAACCUCGGAACUGCCUUUGAUACUGCAGAUCUAGAGUCCGAUAGAGGUGGGUGGAAUUCCUAGUGUAGAGGUGAAAUUCGUAGAUAUUAGGAAGAACACCGGUGGCGAAGGCGGCCCACUGGAUCGGUACUGACGCUGAGGUGCGAAAGCGUGGGGAGCAAACAGGAUUAGAUACCCUAGUAGUCC
rnacentral:rRNA from 1 species